UACAAUUACCAUGCCUUCCGUACUAUAGCUACUACUUACUAAUAAUUUUAUAGGGUGCUCGUGAAUUGUCGUUGGUAGCUUAAUCACUGAUCUCACUCCUGAAAUGCAUUUAGUUAAUUUCGAAGGCAACACUAGCUAGCUAGUUGAUCGAUCACAUGUGAAUGGUUAUGAGAUACAUUUCGGGAGUGAGAAUCAGUGAUUAAACCACUACGUAUUGCAGCGGCAGCGCAUAAUCUUUAAAUUACUUAAUUUCAUUCAUUCAUUAUUAGCUACCUACUAUAUAGUUUCAUUAUACUAAUUAUAUUUAUUCGUUCAUUCAUCGGAUCAGCUAAUCACUUAAUUACUGCUUUUCUUGCAGGUUAUCCUGAAGUACCUAAUUAGCCAUUGAUUUGGUUGAUAAUGCCUUCAUGAUUCAGACCACCAAUCUUUAUAGGUUGAUCAUUAGAAGUAAAAAGUUGUUUCAGAAGUUUCAGAUGGACCAUCGACGAAAGAACAUCUUGGAUGAACGAAGAUUGCAAAGGAGCAUAAAUUACACGUCUUCUCCUGACGAGGUCAUCAAACUCGCUCAUCGAGCCAAUUCAAAAUUUUAUGCAAAAAAACUUCAUGGUGAUUUGACCAUUCUUGUUCACAACACUGCAUCGAUUGGUGAUUUGAUAGUCUCACCAGACGACAUCGCUAAUUUUUGGGUUAUUAUAAAGGGAUUGAAUCAUAACUUUUUUUAAGAACUCUUGGUGCAUAUUGAGACUACAAAGUAGGAUCGAAAUGGAAGACUCAGUUGAUUCUAAUGUGUAACUAUUCUUUUAUAGCAACAUACAAAAUUAAGAUGAAGUUAGGUGAGUUUAAGGGUUUAAGUUUGAUUUCUCGAAGAAUAAGAUUUUCGAAGUGCACACGCUUUUUCUGAUU